rnacentral:tRNA from 1 species
GUCUUGAUAGCUCAGUGGUGAGAGCGCCCUCCAUUAGAGGGAGACCCAGGUUCGAACCCCGGUCAAGACC